UGGGGGAUAUUGCACAAUGGGCGAAAGCCUGAUGCAGCGACGCCGCGUGGGGGAUGAAGGCCUUCGGGUUGUAAACUUCUGUUGCUCUGAACAAGGCAUGCCGUUGGGGUGUGUUGAGUGUAGGGGUUGAUUAGCGCCGGCUAACUACGUGCCAGCAGCCGCGGUAAUACGUAGGGCGCGAGCGUUGUCCGGAAUUAUUGGGCGUAAAGGGCUUGUAGGUGGCUGGUUGCGUCUGUCGUGAAAGCUCAUGGCUUAACUGUGGGUUUGCGGUGGGUACGGGCUGGCUUGAGUGCAGUAGGGGAGGCUGGAAUUCCUGGUGUAGCGGUGGAAUGCGCAGAUAUCAGGAGGAAUACCGGUGGCGAAGGCGGGUCUCUGGGCUGUUACUGACGCUGAGGAGCGAAAGCGUGGGGAGCGAACAGG
rnacentral:rRNA from 1 species